GACGAAGGGGGCUAGCGUUGUUCGGAAUUACUGGGCGUAAAGCGAGUGUAGGUGGUUGUCCAAGUUGGAUGUGAAAGCCUUGAGCUCAACUCCAGAACUGCCUUCGAUACUGGCGAUCUUUGAGUCCGGGAGAGGUGGGUGGAACUGCGAGUGUAGAGGUGAAAUUCGUAGAUAUUCGCAAGAACACCAGUGGCGAAGGCGGCUCACUGGCCCGGUACUGACACUGAGGUGCGAAAGCGUGGGGAGCAAACAGG
rnacentral:rRNA from 1 species